UUAUGGUUCCUGUUCGGGUCACCGAGCGGGAUGAAAAGGGAAUCCGGUGUAAAUCCGGAACAGUACUCGCUGCUGUAAGUCCCCUCCUUCGGGAGAGUAAGUUUAUCACACUCUUUGCCACUGGUGAUUAUCACUGGGAAGGCGUGAUGAACGGGACGAGUCAGAAGACCUGCCUUAACGA
rnacentral:ncRNA from 1 species